GCGCCCGUAGCUCAGUAGGAUAGAGCAACUGCCUUCUAAGCAGUAGGUCGUGGGUUCGAAUCCCCCCGGGCGUACCA
rnacentral:tRNA from 1 species